CACACACAUACAUGAAUCAACAUUGUACAGGUUAACUACACAGCAGUUACAUAAGCGUUACUUCUAUACCGUAUGGGUUAAAUGAAUACGGUUAAUUAAUUCAAGCCUGUAAGAAUAAGCCUGAACACUGCAGUCCUGAUUCAACACUGUCUCACACACACACAGAGACAACACUGUCACACACGCGCGCGCAGACAACACUGUCUCACACAGAGACAACACUGUCACCCACAGAGACAACACUGUCACACACAGAGACAACACUGUCACCCACAGAGACAACACUGUCACACACACACACACACACAGGCACCACUGUCACACACACACAGAGGCACCAGUCACACACACACACACACACAGACACCACUGUCACACACACAGAGACAACACUGUCACACACACAGAGACAACACUGUCACACACACACACACACACACACAGAGACAACACUGUCACACACACAGAGACAACACUGUCACACACACACACACACAGACAACACUGUCACACACACACAGGCACCACUGUCACACACACACACACACACACACACACAGAGACAACACUGUCACACACACACACAGAGACAACACUGUCACACACACACAGGCACCACUGUCACACACACACACACACACACACACACACACACACACACACACACAGAGACAACACUGUCACACACACAGAGACAACACUGUCACACACACAGAGACAACACUGUCACACACACACACACACACACAGAGACAACACUGUCACACACACACACACACACACAGAGACAACACUGUCACACACACACAGAGAGACAACACUGUCACACACACACAGGCACCACUGUCACACACACACACAGACAACACUGUCACACACACACACACAGACAACACUGUCACACACACACACACACACACACACACCACUGUCACACACACACACACACACAGAGACAACACUGUCACACACACACACACACAGACACAGACAACACUGUCACACACACACACACAGAGACAACACUGUCACACACACACACACAGAGACAACACUGUCACACACACACACACACACAGAGACAACACUGUCUCACACACACACACACACAGAGACAACACUGUCACACACACAGAGACAACACUGUCACACACACACAGACACACACACACACAGACACCACUGUCACACACACACACACACACACACACAGAGACAACACUGUCACACACACACACACACACAGAGACAACACUGUCACACACACACACACACACAGACAACACUGUCACACACACACACACAGACACAGACAACACUGUCACACACACAGAGACAACACUGUCACACACACACAGAGACAACACUGUCACACACACAGAGACAACACUGUCACACACACACACACACAGAGACAACACUGUCACACACACACACACACACAGAGACAACAAUGUCACACACACACACACAGAGACAACACUGUCACACACACAGAAACAACACUGUCACACACACACAGACACACACACACACAGAGACACCACUGUCACACACACACAGACACACACACACAGACACCACUGUCACACACACAGAGACACACACACACACACACCACUGUCACACACACAGACAACACUGUCACACACACAGACAACACUGUCUCACACACACACACACACACAACACUGUCACACACACACAGAGACAACACUGUCACACACACACACACAGAGACAACACUGUCACACACACACACAGAGACAACACUGUCACACACACACACACAGACAACACUGUCACACACACAGAGACACCACUGUCACACACACACACACACACAACACUGUCACACACACAGAGACAACACUGUCACACACACAGAGACAACACUGUCACACACACACAGAGACAACACUGUCACACACACAGAGACAACACUGUCACACACACAGAGACAACACUGUCACACACACAGAGACAACACUGUCACACACACACACACACCACUGUCACACACACACACACAGAGACACCACUGUCACACACACACACAGAGACACCACUGUCACACACACACACACAACUGUCACACACACACACACACACAACUGUCACACACACACACACACACCACUGUCACACCCCCAGACAACACUGUCACACACACACACACAGAGAGACAACACUGUCACACACACAGAGACAACACUGUCACACACACACACAGACAACACUGUCACACACACACACAGAGACAACACUGUCACACACACACAGAGACAACACUGUCACACACACACAGAGACAACACUGUCACACACACACAGAGACAACACUGUCUCACACACACACACACACACACACACACAGAGAGACAACACUGUCACACACACACACACACACACACACAGAGAGAGACAACACUGUCACACACACACACACACACACACACACACAGAGAGAGA
ensembl:lncRNA